AGGACCUUUUUGACAUAGCACACUCUGAUGCUAUGAAUAUGAUAAGUAAUGAAAUAGAUAAACAAUUUUUAAAUUGUCAACGGCAAAAAUGUCGUCCAGGAUCAUUAAUUGGAAUUGAUCUUACUUCACACAAAAGUGAACAAAAAAAGUAUAUACGCCUUCAAGAAUCAGAAAAAAGAAAAAAACGUGCUCAUGACGAAAUAAAUGUAUUGU